AUCAUUUGGCUUUCAGCGUAAUUCAAAUAAGGUACAGCCUAUUUGAAACAGGAUACAACCUAGCCCAACGGAUAAGAUCAGCCUGGCAUACAAUCAAGUGGGCCUAAAAGCAGCCACCUUAAGUAUAGCGUCAAAGCUAAAUUGUAACCGCGCCCAAUAACUCUACCCUCAUCUCAAUCCCCCACUAAUACUGAGUAAUUCUAUAAUAUUAUAGAAAUUUUUAUGUUAAAACUAGUAACAAGAAGAAGAUUCUUCUCUUAAAUGCGUGUGUAAAUCAGAAAAGACAAACUACUGAUACUUAGCACCCCUGAACUUAAAGUAGCAACUAAUCAAGAGAACCCUACUUUUAUUAGUGUUAACCUAACACAAGAGCAUUCUAAGAAAGAUUAAAAGAAAAAGAAGGAACUCGGCAAAUAUUAACCUCGCCUGUUUACCAAAAACAUCGCCUCUUGGAACACUAUAAGAGGUCCAGCCUGCCCAGUGACCCUGUUCAACGGCCGCGGUAUCCUAACCGUGCAAAGGUAGCGUAAUCACUUGUUCUCUAAAUAUGGACUAGUAUGAAUGGCACCACGAAGGUUAUACUGUCUCCUUUUUCUAAUCAGUGAAACUGAUCUCCCCGUGAAGAAGCGGGGAUAGCACUAUAAGACGAGAAGACCCUAUGGAGCUUUAAACAAUACAGCAUCUGCCCCCAAAACACCAAGAUUUCCGAAUCAAAACUCCACUGAGCAAUAUGACUGCGAGUUUUUGGUUGGGGUGACCGCGGAGCAUAAUACAACCUCCAUGCUGAAAGAAUACCUUUCUAAGCUAAGAAACAACAAAUCUAAGCAUCAACAUAUUGACAUCCAUUGACCCAAUACACUUGAGCAACGAACCAAGUUACCCUAGGGAUAACAGCGCAAUCCACUUCAAAAGCCCCUAUCGACAAGUGGGUUUACGACCUCGAUGUUGGAUCAGGGUUUCCCAGUGGUGCAGCCGCUACUAAA
rnacentral:rRNA from 1 species